rnacentral:misc_RNA from 1 species
UAAUUAAAAAUUAAUAAAUAAAUGAACAAAUUAAAUAAGAUUAAAAGUUAAUUUUAUAUUUCUAAGAUUUUUUAUUAAAAGUUUAAAAUCCAUGUUAAAUAACGUAUUUUUCUUAUCUAAACCCAAUCCAUUAUGGACUUAAAAUAUAAUAUUAAUAUGUAUAGUGGGAUGACUUAUCUAUUGAAUACGUGGAUCUCACAUAUUUGUAUAUUAAAUCUAUAAUGAAUUGGAUUUAGGCAGAUUUUCCAUUAAG